AUCUAGGCCUACAUCCCUGCGGCCCCUAGACUAUCUCAAUACCUGGAUAUAUCACUUAUCUACUCUAUUCUACAUAUUGUCCAGGGGUAUGGAGAUAUCUGGCCUAAUCACAAUUCAUCACUCAGAGUGCUGCAUGUAACAAGGGUGUGUGCACACUUGAGAAGCCAAAAGGGGACCUACUGACUUCUGGACUUCUGAGAAGUACGUCAUAUCUUCCCACAGCUUCAGAACUUGGAGUUUCAGGGAAUCUGUUGACGACUGGGCCAUGGAAUUAGAGGGGCAUGUUUUGGACUACGAGCAGUGGAGAUAAGAAUCCCCAACUCAUCCAUCAUCAGCUUUGUAAGAGUGGGAGGGCAGACUCUGCCUCUGUGGCGCUGUCCCUAAACCUCUCUUGGAGUCAGAGUACCCAGCUUAAGAAAGCACCUAUGGAACAAGGUGGGUAUCAUGGAGUAUGCAGGGAGUUAGCACACAAGGAGACAUGGCACAGACUCUCUUGGCUUGUGGCCUGUUUGUGGGUCCAUUAUGACCAGGGUUAUUGGUGUCCUUGCUGUUCUUUUCUCCCAUGUGGUGGGGGUGGGAGAGAGUGGUCAGCAAUUCCUCGUAGGAGCAGGUGUCCCAGUCCUGAUGAGGCCAUCUUGUAUCUCUAUGCUACAUGGGACUCAGGGAGCCUAUGGAGUUCUCCUCCAGCUCUUGCUUUUUUUCGGUAGAGACUUGGAAACUUUUCCCCAAUGUAGCAACAGAGACGUUAAGUCCCAGCUCUGACUUCUGUCUUUACCUUUUGUUCCCAGACCAUGGGGUUUAACCUCCUCUGAGUUUCUAGAAGGUACCAUGAGCUACCUGUGGCUCAAGAAGGAAGGGGAAUCAUGUACCCAAAUGGAUAGAAGUUUUGAAGGUCUCAAGCAGAACCUCACAUCUUCCCCAAACCUGAUACUCAGUAUCCCAGCUUCUGCUUGCUUGAGUACCCAUUAGGCCUGAAUGAAGACUGCUGGGGGCUGUAAGACCACAUCACCAGGGGGUACUGCUUUAUUGGUAUGGUCACUUUGAAGGCAAAACUUGUUCGUGCACCAGCUUAACUUAGAGAUUGUGAAGAGUCACUGAGGAAUUUAUGUCCAUCAAAAGUGGAGAUUGCUUUGCGAACUUCAUAGUCAGGCUGAAAAACUGUCUCUAAAGUAUACAGGUGUCAGGUAUCAGAUAUCUUUUUUUAUAGUUCAGUUACUACAUUCUACUCAGCCAGUAUACCUACUAUGGGCCAAGCAUGUACAAAUUCUAUUAAUUAAAUUUUGAUUAUCACCAUGGAAUAAAUUUGGGCACUGAGUCACGGAGAUUAAAUAAUUUUACCUGAGGUCAAGCAGACGGUUUAUGGUCAGGUUGGGCUUCAAGCCUAAACCACUCUUACUCAAACGUUCAUGCUUUUUCUACUUUCAAAGCCUCCCUCUGUCUUCAUAUCAUUCUGCAAAAUGGUUGCCUGAACACCUGCUAUGUUGGACUUGAACUCACUACCACCCCAGAUGACCAAUGAAUGGCUAAGAGAGGUUUGAAUGUUUUGAUUAGGCCUGUUAACAUGUGCUUAGUCUUCCCUCUUUCUCCUCCCUCUCCUCCUCUCACCUUCUAUCACUUGACUUCUGACACUUGCCUAGCCCUGGAUGGAGGGACUCCCUUGUCUUCACUCAAGAAAGGGCAAGCUCAGUAGCUCAGCUUGAGGCUGUUCCUGCAUCUUCAAGAAGGAGCCCAAGGCCGGGAGGAGCUUCCUCUUUCCCUGAACUAACUCAGUCAGUGAUAGGCCCUGGUAAUUUCUCUCUCUCUGAAAGAAAAAGAAAGAAAUGAAGAAAAGAGAGGAAGAAAGAAAGAGAAAGAAGGAAAAAAAGAAAGAGAAAAAAAGGAAAGAAAGAAAGAAAAAGAAAGAAAAAAAUGAAAGAAAAAGAAAGAGAGGAAAGG
ensembl:lncRNA novel transcript